rnacentral:rRNA from 1 species
ACGCCGCUCAGAACGUUAAAGAAUGACGGGGCCCGCACAGCGGUGGAGUAUGUGGUUAAUUCGAUGCAACGCGAGGAACCUUACCUGGUCUUGACAUCCCGGAGACCCUUAGGAAACUAGGGGGUGCUUCCAUCUGGAAGAAUCUGGAGACAGGUGCUGCAUGGCUGUCGUCAGCUCGUGUCGUGAGAUGUUGGGUUAAGUCCCGCAACGAGCGCAACCCUUGCCUUUAGUUGCCAGCAGUUCGGCUGGGCACUCUAAAGGGACUGCCGGUGUUAAACCGGAGGAAGGUGGGGAUGACGUCAAGUCCUCAUGGCCUUUAUGACCAGGGCUACACACGUACUACAAUGGCCGAUACAAAGGGCAGCGACACUGCGAGGUGAAGCCAAUCCCGUAAAAUCGGUCUCAGUCCGGAUUGGAGUCUGCAACUCGACUCCAUGAAGUUGGAAUCGCUAGUAAUCGUGGAUCAGCAUGCCACGGUGAAUACGUUCCCGGGCCUU